CAGUAGCCGCGGUAAUACGAAGGGGGCUAGCGUUAAUCGGAAUUACUGGGCGUAAAGCGUGCGCAGGCGGUUAUAUAAGACAGAUGUGAAAUCCCCGGGCUCAACCUGGGAACUGCAUUUGUGACUGUAUAGCUAGAGUACGGCAGAGGGGGAUGGAAUUCCGCGUGUAGCAGUGAAAUGCGUAGAUAUGCGGAGGAACACCGAUGGCGAAGGCAAUCCCCUGGGCCUGUACUGACGCUCAUGCACGAAAGCGUGGGGAGCAAACAGGAUUAGAGACCCGCGUAGUCCCUGUCUCUUAUAC
rnacentral:rRNA from 1 species